CAGUCUGGGAUUGGGGUGGGGCAUGGCAUAGGAUCCCCAAAAGGUUUGCCAUCACUCACCUAGGCCAUCAAAAUGAUAAUUUAUGGAUACUAAAAAAUAAUUGGAAAAGAUCCACAUUCAUUAUAUCAAGGACAUGAAGAUCCAUUUAGGAACUUAACAUCAUGUCUGCUAAGUGAGCAAAGAAAGAAAUAUUUUAAUUGAGAAACUGAGAUCAUAAUUUCUUAAAAAUAAAGCAGUAAGCUAGA